rnacentral:misc_RNA from 1 species
GAUGAAGAACGUAGCGAAAUGCGAUAAGUAAUGUGAAUUGCAGAAUUCAGUGAAUCAUCGAAUCUUUGAACGCACAUUGCGCCCGCCAGUAUUCUGGCGAGCAUGCCUGUUCGAGCGUCAUUUCAACCAUCAAGCCCCAGGCUUGUGUUGGAGCCCUGCGGCUGCCGCAGCCUCCCAAAACCAGUGGCGGGCUCGCUAUCACACCGAGUGCAGUAGUUUACUCUUCGCUCAGGGCGUGUGGCGGGUGCUAGCCGUGAAACCCCCAACUUCUCAAGGUUGACCUCGGAUCAGGUAGGAAUACCCGCUGAACUUAAGCAUACAAUAAGCGGAGGA